rnacentral:rRNA from 1 species
GACGGGACCCGCACAAGCGGUGGAUGAUGUGGAUUAAUUCGAUGCAACGCGAAGAACCUUACCUACCCUUGACAUGUCCGGAACUUGCCAGAGAUGGCUUGGUGCCCGAAAGGGAAUCGGAACACAGGUGCUGCAUGGCUGUCGUCAGCUCGUGUCGUGAGAUGUUGGGUUAAGUCCCGCAACGAGCGCAACCCUUAUCAUUAGUUGCUACGCAAGGGCACUCUAAUGAGACUGCCGGUGACAAACCGGAGGAAGGUGGGGAUGACGUCAAGUCCUCAUGGCCCUUAUGGGUAGGGCUUCACACGUCAUACAAUGGUCGGUACAGAGGGUUGCCAAGCCGCGAGGCGGAGCCAAUCCCACAAAGCCGAUCGUAGUCCGGAUUGUUCUCUGCAACUCGAGAGCAUGAAGUCGGAAUCGCUAGUAAUCGCAGGUCAGCAUACUGCGGUGAAUACGUUCCCGGGGCUU